CUUUCCGCUCGGAGGCUUGCUCCGCUGGCCUUUUUUUCCCCUUUCCUACCACCCCGCCCCGGGCGACUCUGGCGCGCUCUGAUGACGCGCCAAAGGAAGAGGAAGUCGGGGUUCCGCGAGCGGGUGGGUGCGCCGCGGGCCGCGGGACUCGCAGCCGCUGCCGCCGCCUCUACGGCCGCGUCAGAACUGAAGAGAGGAAGGGGAGGAGCCGAGUGGAGCCUAAGCGGCCGCCUUAUCUCACCCCCGAGUCGGGGGCAGCGGAGAGGGCUUCAUCUUUUGUGGUUUCCUUCAGGGCAGGUGGUGACUGCUCCUUUGGGAGCCAGGAGGAGGCCCAGGCCGCGCGGCCACGCUCGGGUGCGCACCACCUGAAGAGUCAGUGAUAUUUUAAAACUGGAGGGAGAUAAGACCCGAGAAAUUAAGUGACUUACCCCACGUAACAAGCAAAUAGGAGAACAAGGCAAUAGGAAGCCUGAGCUCCACCCCCAGGUCUUCGGAUAGAGUGUGCAUGCGUUUAUACCACGCCAGUGCUCAGUCUUCCGGAGCAGCGAGGUCAGUUAAUUCCCACGGUCUUCAGAAUAUCAUUCGCUUCCGCAUGGCAAGCUUCUUAUUCUACCAUUGGAUAAGAUAAUGUUAAACCUAACCGUCUUAGGAUCAGAUUAAGAUUGAUAUUAAAUAAAAAGACAAAAUUUUUAAAGGUGAAUAUAAAUGACAGAGCUAAAAGGGAUUACAUGGGAAUUUGCUUUAAAAACAAGGUUGAGGGACGAGGGGUGUGGAGGAAUUGAACAAAAAAAGAAGAAAGAACUCAUGGACCUGGACAACAGUGUGGUGAUUGUGGGGAGAAGGGGAGCAGGUAGAGGUGGAAGAGGCUAGGAAAGAAUAAAUGGUGUUGGAAAAAAGUAAAAUAAAGUUUCUUCACUCUGCCCUUUAUUCCUUAGAGCCUGUCUGUCACUCGGGCCCUUUGCCUGUACAAAGAGUUACCAUACUUCCUCCAUAUCUGAGAAAAGAGUUACAAAAAAGAAGGUAGAGGUUAACAGUGCCAAUUGGUUGACAAAGGCCCAUGAUGAUGAUCAGCUCCCUAAUAAUCUCAUAAUGUGGUUUGAAAUGCUGGAGGGUAUCAGAACUUAACACUUGUAAUUAUAAGGUCAAAUCAACCUGGGGAAUUUACCAGCUGUUUGAUGAGCUUGCCCCUGUGUUACCUUUAUUAUCAUCUGGAUUUGCAAACACUGUUUCUAAAAGUGAAUGAUAGGAGAUGACUAGUUUUAGUAGAAAAAAAUAACUUUGAGUCACUCGAAAUCUUUGUUAAUUUAACAAAGUUUAAUAGUCACAAAGUAUUUUUAUCUAAUAAAAUCUAGUAUUUUAAAUUAAAUAUUGAGUCAAAACAGCCUUAAAGAACUACAUAGCCUUAGAUGUAACAACUCUGAAGAGGAAAGGCAUUACAGUAUUCUGGCUUGAAAUUUAAAGUUGAGGUCAUUGAACUAAAAAUAGGGAGUUUCUGAAGGUACUAAAUACAUAAACGUUAAUUGUAUAUUUUUUGUGUUAACUUCCAAAAAGCAGUGUCCUAUAGAAACCAUAAAAGUGUUAGUAUAUGUAUUAUAAACAGAAUUUUCACAUGUACUUCACCAUGCAGUGAACAGAAACUUGCCACCUACCAUUUCUUAGCACUCGGCAAAUGCUUGCUGGACAUAAAAUGGUGAGAAGAAAACAUACCCUGGCUUCAUGGAGCUUGCAGUCUGGUGCCUAGUGCAUGCCGUGCUUGGGACUUCACACCAUUUACUGUCAUCUAAAACCAUUUGAACAUAUCUGAUGAUGUAGGCAACGAAUCAGACUGACUGCUUUUAUUCUCUUGAUAAGCAAAUAAAUGACAACAUGCUACAAA